AAUGAACGUUGGCGGCGUGGAUUAGGCACGCAAGUCGUGCGAGAAUCUCCCUUCGGGGAGAGGACAGCGGCGAAAGGGCGAGUAACGCGUGGUUACAUACCCUCGGGACCGGGAUAGUAGCGGGAAACUGCUAGUAAUACCGGAUAAUAUCUUUGGAUCAAAGGCGUGAUUCCGCCCGAGGAUUGGACCGCGUUCUAUUAGCUUGUUGGCGGGGUAAUGGCCGACCAAGGCGACGAUGGAUACCGGGUGUGAGAGCAUGGCCCGGCUCACUGGGACUGAGACACUGCCCAGACACCGACGGGUGGCUGCAGUCGGGAAUCUUCGGCAAUGGGGGCAACACGGACCGAGCGACGCCGCGUGCGGGAUGAAUGCCCUCGGUUUGUAAACCGCUGUCAGUUGGUAGGAAGUGCCAGGGGGUUCUCCCCUUGGUUUGACCGAUCUUCAGAGGAAGGACGGGCUAAGUUCGUGCCAGCCGCCGCAGUAAGAC
rnacentral:rRNA from 1 species